UCAGUUCAAGAUUCUGGAAAUAACUCUCCUCUUAGCCCCUGGUAUUUUUGUCUAGGCAGGCACCAUCCAGAGAGCUGGACAACCUUGAACUUCUAGCGUGGUGCUGGAGGAGGCUUCCUUUAUGAAUUCCUGCUGUGCAGAAAGGGCUGCGGAGUGACUCAGCAGAGGAGGAUUACAGCAGAAAUGCCCCAGGCUGUCGCAAGCCUUCCCAGUCGCUCCAGCUGCAACAUCUGCGGCAGUAAGAAUCUUUGCGAGGAGUUCAGAAAAUUCUGAAAGGCCUCUCACGGGGAUUUCUGAUUAGAUGUAUCUGGGCAAAAGAGCGUGGGGAAGGCAGAGACAUCUAAGCAACACUGAAGGAUCUGGAAGUUACUUGUUAGUCACUAGACUGGGGGGAUGUGGAGUGUCUCUUCUCUGAAGGGAGAUAACUUUUGGCAUGGAACCCCCCCCCCCCCAUGCUAAUUGGCAACUCUUUGCAAGUUGGAUGCUUUACAAUUAAUUGGAGUCACUGAAGAACAAUGUGCCUUUGGUCAACCUGUUACUAUGUCAAAGGUAAGAUUGGAACCCAGGCCUUAAUGAUUCUAAGAUUAGCUUUCUUUUUUUUUUAAUUUUAUAGUAUUUUAUUUGAUCAUUUCCAUACAUUAUUCAUUAAAGACAAAGAUCAUUUUCUUUUCCUCCCUCCCACCCCCCGUAGCCGACGCGUGAUUCCACUGGGUAUCACAUGUGCUCUUGAUUCGAACCCAUUGCCAUGUUGUUAAUAUUUGCAUUAGAGUGUUCG
rnacentral:lncRNA from 1 species